CGGGAGGCAGAAGGGGAGGCUACGCAAACCUAAACUGUUUUAGUCAGAGUGUGAGUGUGCUUCUACAUAUGGACCUUGUUUAGUACUAAAAAACUUUGCAAAAUAGACAAGGUAGUAUUUUCGUUUGUAUUUGACAAAUAUUAUCCAAUUAUAGACUAACUAGGCUCAAAAGAUCGUCUCGUAAAUUACAGUCAAAGUGUACAAUUAGUUAUUAUUUUUAUCUAUAUUUAAUGCUCUAUACAUGCGCCGUAAAAUCUAAAAUUUUUUAUAUUUUUUUUCAAACUAAAGAAGACCAUGGUUGAGGAUGAAUGUCGGAGGCGACGGACAAAAAAUUAAUAAUAUUAUGUGAAUGUAUAGUUAUCCGUCGAUAGAUUUUACGUGGUCAAACUUUUCAAUUUUUAUAAUACAUAUAAUGUUCUAUGAUUUGUUUUAUGAUCAGUUGACACCGUUUUUGACACGUACCCAGGAUCGGUAGAGUGUGGAUCGGCAAGGAGAAGGCGAUUGUGACUAGUCUGCGGGAGAGUUGCCGAUAAGGGUGAUUGCCGAUGAAGAGAUAGCUGGAUGUGGCUAAGUCCAUGGGUGGUGAUGUAUUCAUGUCGAUGGCCAGCAUUAAUCGUUGCCGAUGAGGAGUCUGCCGAUGACGUGGAAGGAAGACUUGGAGGUUACCAAGUGGUCCAUGGUGG
rnacentral:lncRNA from 1 species